rnacentral:rRNA from 1 species
UACGGGGGGAGCAAGCGUUGUUCGGAUUUACUGGGCGUAAAGGGCGCGUAGGCGGCCAGCACAAGUCAGUUGUGAAAUCUCCGAGCUUAACUCGGAAAGGUCAACUGAUACUGUGCGGCUAGAGUGCGGAAGGGGCAACUGGAAUUCUUGGUGUAGCGGUGAAAUGCGUAGAUAUCAAGAGGAACACCUGCGGCGAAGGCGGGUUGCUGGGCCGACACUGACGCUGAAGUGCGAAAGCUAGGGGAGCGAACGGG